UCUACGGGAGGCUGCAGUGAGGAAUAUUGGUCAAUGGCCGCAGGGCUGAACCAGCCAAGUCGCGUGAGGGAUGACGGUCCUAUGGAUUGUAAACCUCUUUUGUCAGGGAGCAAAGGGCGCCACGUGUGGCGUUCUGCGAGUACCUGAAGAAAAAGCAUCGGCUAACUCCGUGCCAGCAGCCGCGGUAAUACGGAGGAGGCGAGCGUUAUCAGGAUUUAUUGGGUUGAAAGGGGGGGAGGGCGGAAUGCCAAGUCAGCGGGAAAGUUUCGGGGCGAAACCCAGUCGUGCAGUUGACACUGGGGGUCUUGAGUGAGGGAGAGGUAUGCGGAAUGCGUGGUGUAGCGGUGAAAUGCUUAGAUAUCACGAAGAACCCCGAUUGCGAAGGCAGCCUGCCAAGCCAUGACUGACGCUGAUGCACGAAAGCGUGGGGAUCAAACAGGAUUAGAUACCCUAGUAGUC
rnacentral:rRNA from 1 species